rnacentral:rRNA from 1 species
CCUACGGGUGGCAGCAGUGGGGAAUAUUGCACAAUGGGGGAAACCCUGAUGCAGCGACGCCGCGUGAGUGAAGAAGUAAUUCGGUAUGUAAAGCCCUAUCAGCAGGGAAGAAAAUGACGGUACCUGAGUAAGAAGCCCCGGCUAACUACGUGCCAGCAGCCGCGGUAAUACGGAGGGGGCAAGCGUUAUCCGGAUUUACUGGGUGUAAAGGGAGCGUAGGCGGGAGUGCAAGUCUGGAGUGAAAGGCGGGGGCUCAACCCCCGGACUGCUCUUGAAACUGUACGGCUGGAGUGCAGGAGAGGUAAGUGGAAUUCGUAGUGUAGCGGUGAAAUGCGUAGAUAUUAGGAGGAACACCAGUUGCGAAGGCGGCUUACUGGACUGUUACUGACGUUGAGGCACGAAAGCGUGGGGAGCAAACAGGAUUAGAUACCCUUGUAGUC